rnacentral:antisense_RNA from 1 species
UUCAAUGGUGGCUCAGGCGGGGCAGCCUUCGGGCUGGCCGGCAUCCGUUGUGACCGGUAGUGCAAACUCCGUCUGAGCUACCACCCAA